rnacentral:rRNA from 1 species
CUACGGGGUGCUCCAGUGAGGAAUAUUGCACCAUGGGGGGAACCCUGAUGCAGCAACGCCGCGUGGAGGAUGACGCAUUUCGGCGUGUAAACUCCUUUUAUAUGUCAAGAAAAUGACGGUAGCAUAUGAAUAAGCACCGGCUAACUCCGUGCCAGCAGCCGCGGUAAUACGGAGGGUGCAAGCGUUACUCGGAAUCACUGGGCGUAAAGGACGCGUAGGCGGGUUGGAAAGUCAGGUGUGAAAUCCUACAGCUUAACUGUAGAACUGCACUUGAAACUUCUAAUCUAGAGUAUGGGAGGGGGAGAUGGAGUUAGUGGUGUAGGGGUAAAAUCCGUAGAUAUCACUAGGAAUACCUAAAGCGAAGGCGAUCUCCUGGAACAUUACUGACGCUAAGGCGUGAAAGCGUGGGGAGCAAACAGGAUUAGAUACCCCGGUAGUC